ACUCAGUGCCAAAGAACCUUGAAUGUGGGUGGCCUGGUAUUGCUAUAUAUCAGCACCUCUCAAGGCUCAAGCCAUCUCACGCACGUUAUGGAAAGCAAGGAUUGUCACUGCGUGGCCUACUCUCCCACCCAUCACAUGUCGUUGUGAACCAAUGGAACAUCAUCUCUUGUUCUUAUAAACAACAGAGAGAAGCUUUGAGUCAGCUGCCAUUACUUUUCAUUCAUGGUACGAGAUGGAGACUUCAAGGGGGAAUUUGGUUGCUUCUAUGGUGUUUAUUAUAGGAGAAUGAGAUUAAAUGGGUUGUGUGGACUGAUUAUGGAAAAUGGUGUUGGUGGUUAUCCAAUGGAGUUGGUCGCAGGUGGAGAUUGAAUGAGAGUUUUGGUCUUAAUUGUGACACGGGCGUGUAUGAAUGGGAUUUUCAGGUCAAGAAAAAUCUAUAAACAAGGUUUCGAAAUCAGUCUCGAACAUGCCUUUAGCCGCACAGAAACUGCACUUCAGUUGCUCGAAGAAUUGCCUGAAAGAAGAUGGAAUCAGUUUCUUAAACUGUUGGCAGUUGCAUUCAUGUUGAAUGGAAGAAAGAUGCGAGACAAGGAGCUGGUGAUGCAACUGGACUGGUGGUUAUGGUGAACUGGUAACCGCAGGAGAAGAUGGAGGAGUUAUGUUCGUUCCGUUUCGUUUGUGUUCUUUGACCAAGCUAUGGUUGAGCAAUGCAGUCGAUCGAUGGAGUAAGCAGCUUUGUUACUGCAGCUGUGUGCUCGAGUCUAUUUGGGGUAUGUUUGGUGAAUUUGAAUCAGUUCUUGGAGAUGAUGUUAAUGGCUGCAGCUACGGAUCUGUGGGGCUCCCAUGUGAUCAGAAAUAGGUGCCUGGAUUGUUUGCAGGAGACGAUUGAAUUGUAGUUCUGAUUACGGGAAGGACUGGUAAUGGGUUCUGAAUUUUGUCGUGGCAGCAGUGGUCGUUGAAGCAAAUAUGGACAGGAUAAGUGGUGUCUGAGAUGGGUUUAAGCUGAGGUUCUUAACUGAUAAAAUACACACAGCAGGAGAUGAUGGAAGCGGUUUUGAUCAUUGUGAACUCUUAGGGCAGUCGACAGUGAAGAUUGGCCGAAUUCGACAGUGGUUUGGUCGAGUUUCUGCGCAAAGAAAACAACAAGAGCAUUGAGCAGUUGUCGUUAAUCAUGGAGUCUGAAUUUGGAAGGCAGAAGUUGGAUGGAUGGAAUUAAUUACAGAUACAAUAGGUUAUUGAUGGUACAUGCAUCGAUUUCUUGAGAUAAUGAGAACUGGCCGCUCGUGGUGAUGAAUUUUCUUUCGGUAUAAAGAACAUCAAGGAAGGAAAGAACUUGAGGAUCUUUGGCAUGAAUGGAGUUGACGUCGCUGGUGUUGUUUGCGUAUACAACAAAUGGGACGGAGAUGACCAGGGAAGCAUUGCUGCUGGCAGAGAUGAGAAUAAUGGAGCUGUGAACAUACCGACUGAAGAAGGGAGAUGUUGAUCACGAUGGUAGCUGUAUCGGUGAUUAGCAAAGUUUAAUGGUGGUCGCCGGCAAUGGUUAGGAAGCAGAAAGUGGUGUCUUCUUUAUCUUUAUGCCGAUGGAGUUCAGUGAUGAGAAGACGAGAUCAAUUGCAGCCGAUGAAUGUGGAGUAUAUUGGCUGGAUAAUCGUGAUUGAUGCAAAGAGCCGUAAGAAGAAGAGACACCAGUCUGUUAUGGUUGCAACGGGUGACUGGAGGUGCAAGUAACCGAGAUUCAAGGAGUUGGUGUUGCUGCCAUGUCAUGGCAAUGAACAACGAAUUGGUCAUUGAUGCCGAUAAGUGGAUGGGCUGUUGGCUGUGUUGCGAAAAGUGGAGUCUGGUGGUUGUUUGCCAAUGAAGAAGAACAACAAGCCUAUCUGCUGUGAGCUAAUGGAGCGACUGCAAUGGGAACUCGGAGAUUCAAAUCGAGGUGCUGUUGAAAUCAAGGUCGAUGGCGAGGUCUCGUUGACUAAAUAAUUGCAGGCGAAGAUGGAAUGACUGGGCAGCAUUACUUGAGAUGCUGGAGUUGGUAUUGGUGGAGGAUAACAGUCGAGAACAAAACAAGAAGAACUGAUGCUGUAGCCAUUGGUUCAUGGCUGUUGGGUCUAACGGAAGAGUUCACUGCCGAUUGAGAUUCUCGGGCGGAAAUAAAAUGGAAACUGGAGUUGGAUGGUCAGGCGUGUAUGUGAAAGUGAAACCUACUGCUAGACCCAUUUUUUCAUUAUUUUCCACUCACAAACCCACGGGUUCGAAAUUUCACGCGCUCACCCAAUUUUUCCGAAUAAAUUCCUCCCAGACCAUAAUUUCCGAAAUUGUGUUUUUUUUUUCGUUAAUCCCAAACUGUCCUUCCAGAUUCUUAUUUCUUCGUUUUCUUCGCGAAACAGAGAGAAAGGCAAGAGAGAAGCUGCUGAUUUUCUUUGCAAGUGAUAUUCUCUUUACAUUUCAACUUUCAAUUUUCCUUUCUAGGUUUUGUUCGAUUUAAAUUCUUCUCUUUUCGCUUUUAUAUAUUUGCUUUUGUUGUUUUCUUAGGAUUUUGAAGCACAUGAGAUUUUACACAGGGAAGGAGCUUUACAAACUUAAAGGCGAUCUAGGAUUCGUUUUUCUUUUUUUUCAUUUGGCUUCAAUUUUUAUUUCGUUUAUCGUUGGGGGUUUUAUUGAUCUGGUAAGGAAUCUAUAUUUUUGUUGUGUUUUUGAUUUUCAUUUUAACAACUGAAUCUCGUUGUGUAUUAAGAUCCUCUCUUCCUAAGGAAUCUACAAACAUAAUGAUAUAGAUUAUUGCAUGAUAAUAAUCUCGAUCAAUUUUUACUUUAGAAUUUGGAUUUGUGUUUUUAAUUUUUUUCUUGUAUUUGAGAAUUUGGAGUUCCAAAUUUAGGGGUUUGGGGCAUUUAACUGGCUUGCUCUUCCUAGUUAUGCAACCUUAGAAAUGGGUUUGAAUCAAGGUUUACUGGUGAAGUCAAAAAAAUUGGAAUUAGGUGUUAAUUUUGAUCAAUUUUGGCAGAUGUGACAAUGGUUUUAUGUGAGCUUGAGUUUGUUAUAAAGAGAGUGAAGAUACCAACCAUUCCGGAUGGGAGCGUGAUGGAUUUGUUUCUAAUAACGGUUACAAGGAUAGCUGGGCUAAGAGAACAUUACAAACAUGUUGAGAAGCUUAUAAAAGAGCUUGGAGUCUUCACAACAGUUUAUCUUUCUGGUGAAGAUGCAUGCCUUUAUGAUAUGGACCCUGAGGAAUUGGAUCAACUUGCUCGCGACCAUAUCAGCGAAAUGGAGCUCUUUCGAGUUUCGUACAACAACAAUAAACGAUGGAAUUUGGGGAGUUUGUAUGGCUUGGAAAAAAGGACUUAGAGAUGGUUCUUAUGAGAAAAAAGGACUUGAAUAAGGAAUUUGUAGCUUGGAUAAGUGGCUGGUUCUUACUGUGAAUUGUUGGUCUCGAUCAAGAAAUGAUGUGCAGCGACAAAGUUAGGUUCCGAAAUAUGCUUAAAUUGGCUAAUGCAACAUUGUUAAUUGAAUGAUUUGGGAAUUAUGUGUUGCCUGAAUUGACAUACAGGGGUUUUGGAGUGAGAUGGUCUAAUUUGGAAUUAUUUGAUUCGGUCGCAGAAAGUGCUUAGGAAGACAGAAAUGAAAAGGUGGUAUUGUUUCGUCCAAAUUCCUAUCUCAUUUUUGUUUAUUAUUGCAUUAUUUACUGCGAACUGACAGGCUUCAAGGUACUGUCUAUUUUUCCAUGCCAUUGCUUGUAUAUUUGUUUAUAAUGCUUAAAACAUUUUCGAUAACUAGUUUAUGUUGUUAGACAGUAAGGAGGUUUGAGGGACCUCUGUUAUUACCACGUACAACAAAUGCAAAUUUUUAGUUUAGUGCAGUUGUUAAGUUCAAGGUUGAGUGCAGAUUGAGAACUGAAUUUUUUCUUGCUGACUAUAAUGGUGGCUGGUAGUGACACUCUAACAGUUACUGCUCAUGCCUUUGAUUGUCUUUUUUAUUUCAUAUUUUCUUAAUAUGCCGUUUUAUGACCCAAUGUUGUGUUGUGUUGUCGUUGCAGGGGAUCAGGUGGAAAGAGAACAUAGGGAGGCACACUUGAAUUAAGAGAUGACGAUACGGUUAAUCCAAACGAUCCCAACCAUGACAGUAAUGAGAUAUAAAAGGUCCCCCUAGGAACGACAAAUAGAUUUUUUCAUUUGAUAUGUUAUUGUGUUGUGGAUGACUUAGUCAUUGUAGUUUUUAUAUUGUAAUUGCAAGAUUAGUCAUUUUUUGCAAUUAAAGAAUUUUUUGCAAGUUAA